GUUCUAACAUCCAAUGUCCAUUUUUCUCCAUAGGCAUUGAGCAUUGUAAAAUAUUUAAUUUAAUUGAAAAUAAAACCUGUAAUUAAUAACCAGUGAUUAAUCAUAUUUAAUGUCUUACCAAUAGAUGGCUUCUGUAACUUCAUUGACUGGCUAUAAUUAUAGCAUACAAUAGAAGAACAUAAAGUUGGGAGUGGACCAAAACGUUGGAAUAGAGAAAUUCAAUUUCCUGUUUUCUCCAAGGCAUGAAAACAAGAAAGCAGACAGGCAGCUUCUCAGCAAGGGAAUUAGGAAUCCUGAUAUUCCCAUUAAUGGGCAAAUGCACAAGUUUCUUCUGAGUGUUAAGGAGACCACAUCCUGUCACUUGUGGAAUGUUAUCUCUUCCAGCAGUGGAAGAGAUAAGAAUGUGUUGCAAAGAGGUCUGGGCAGUGCCCCCAGUGUGGAAAAUAGUAGGAGCAAGAACCUUAGCCCUUGGAGCAAUGAUGGGGUAGAGAUGGCAGCAGUCAAGGAAUCC
rnacentral:lncRNA from 1 species